GACGAACGCUGGCGGCGUGCCUAACACAUGCAAGUCGAACGAGACCUUCCGGUCUCGGGGCGCACGGUGGCGUACGGCGGGGUAACCUGCGCGUAAGUUCGGCAUAACUCUCCGAAAGGGGUACUAAUACCGGGCUAUUUCUUCGGACGAAAGAUUUCUCGCUUUUGGGUGGGCCCGCGUUGGAUUCGCUAGUUGGUAGGGUAACAGCCUACCAAGGCGACGAUCCAGAGCUGGUCUGCGAGGAUGAUCAGCCACACUGGGACUGAGACACAGCCCAGACUCCGACGGGAGGCAGCAGUGGGGAAUAUUGGACGAUGGGCGAAAGCGUGACCAAGCCAUGUCGCGUGAGUGAGGAAGGCCUUAGGGUUGUAAAGCUCUUUUACCCGGGAUGAUAAUGACGGUACCGGGAGAAUAAGCGCCGGCUAACUCCGUG
rnacentral:rRNA from 1 species